GACGAACGCUGGCGGCGUGCCUAAUACAUGCAAGUAGAACGCUGAAGGAGGAGCUUGCUUCUCUGGAUGAGUUGCGAACGGGUGAGUAACGCGUAGGUAACCUGCCUGGUAGCGGGGGAUAACUAUUGGAAACGAUAGCUAAUACCGCAUAAGAGUAGAUGUUGCAUGACAUUUGCUUAAAAGGUGCAAUUGCAUCACUACCAGAUGGACCUGCGUUGUAUUAGCUAGUUGGUGGGGUAACGGCUCACCAAGGCGACGAUACAUAGCCGACCUGAGAGGGUGAUCGGCCACACUGGGACUGAGACACGGCCCAGACUCCUACGGGAGGCAGCAGUAGGGAAUCUUCGGCAAUGGACGGAAGUCUGACCGAGCAACGCCGCGUGAGUGAAGAAGGUUUUCGGAUCGUAAAGCUCUGUUGUAAGAGAAGAACGAGUGUGAGAGUGGAAAGUUCACACUGUGACGGUAUCUUACCAGAAAGGGACGGCUAACUACG
rnacentral:rRNA from 1 species